rnacentral:rRNA from 1 species
GUGAGGAAUAUUGGUCAAUGGACGAGAGUCUGAACCAGCCAAGUAGCGUGAAGGAUGAAGGUCCUACGGAUUGUAAACUUCUUUUAUAAGGGAAUAAAACCUCCCACGUGUGGGAGCUUGUAUGUACCUUAUGAAUAAGCAUCGGCUAACUCCGUGCCAGCAGCCGCGGUAAUACGGAGGAUGCGAGCGUUAUCCGGAUUUAUUGGGUUUAAAGGGAGCGCAGACGGGUCGUUAAGUCAGCUGUGAAAGUUUGGGGCUCAACCUUAAAAUUGCAGUUGAUACUGGCGUCCUUGAGUGCGGUUGAGGUGUGCGGAAUUCGUGGUGUAGCGGUGAAAUGCUUAGAUAUCACGAAGAACUCCGAUUGCGAAGGCAGCACACUAAGCCGUAACUGACGUUCAUGCUCGAAAGUGUGGGUAUCAAACAGGA